rnacentral:rRNA from 1 species
AUUGAACGCUGGCGGCAGGCCUAACACAUGCAAGUCGAACGAGUGGCGGACGGGUGAGUAAUGUCUGGGAAACUGCCUGAUGGAGGGGGAUAACUACUGGACCCGGUAGCUACUACCGCAUACCAUCGGAUGUGCCCAGAUGGGCUUAGCUAGUAGGUGGGGUAAAGGCGCACCUAGGCGACGAUCCCUAGCUGGGUUGAGAGGAUGACCAGCCACACUGGAACGGGGACACGGUCCAGAAUCCUACGGGAGGCAGCAGUGGGGAAUAUUGCACAAUGGGCGAAAGCCUGAUGCAGCAAUGCCGCGUGUAUGAAGAAGGCCUUCGGGUUGUAAAGUACUUUCAGCGGGGAGGCGUUACCCGCAGAAGAAGCACCGGCUAACUCCGUGCCAGCAGCCGCGGUAAUAC